rnacentral:rRNA from 1 species
AUGGUCAUCAACGACAUGGAGGGCAAAGUGUGGAAGACCAUCAGUCUACCAUACGGCCGGAGAUUUGGUACGAUUGGAUCGUCGCAGGGGUGCUUACACUACGCCAUGGCUUCCUACGACGAUAACAACCAAAUCUCUCGGUUAGAACUCUGGUGUCUUGAGGAUUGCCAUAGUAAAGAAUUGGUCCUGAAGCAUACUGCCAGCUUCAAUAAACUUAUGAGCAUGACAGGGCAGGCGUACAUGGCGGUUGAGAUCCAUCCAGAUUGCGACACCAUUUUCUUGUUCUCAUGUGGAGGUGAUACCUUGGUAGCAUAUGAUAUGCGACAUCAGAAAGUUGGAUAUAUCCUUAAUCUUGAGAAGAGCAACACACGACGUCUUCUACCCUAUGUUCCUCUGUUCUCA